CCUACGGGGGGCAGCAGUGGGGAAUAUUGCACAAUGGGCGCAAGCCUGAUGCAGCCAUGCCGCGUGUGUGAAGAAGGCCUUCGGGUUGUAAAGCACUUUCAGCGGGGAGGAAGGCGUUAAGGUUAAUAACCUUGGCGAUUGACGUUACCCGCAGAAGAAGCACCGGCUAACUCCGUGCCAGCAGCCGCGGUAAUACGGAGGGUGCAAGCGUUAAUCGGAAUUACUGGGCGUAAAGCGCACGCAGGCGGUCUGUCAAGUCGGAUGUGAAAUCCCCGGGCUCAACCUGGGAACUGCAUUCGAAACUGGCAGGCUAGAGCCUUGUAGAGGGGGGUAGAAUUCCAGGUGUAGCGGUGAAGUGCGUAGAGAUCUGGAGGAAUACCGGUGGCGAAGGCGGCCCCCUGGACAAAGACUGACGCUCAGGUGCGAAAGCGUGGGGAGCAAACAGGAUUAGAUACCCUAGUAGUC
rnacentral:rRNA from 1 species